rnacentral:rRNA from 1 species
CAGCCGCCGCGGCAAUACCGGCGGCCCGAGUGGCGGUCUCUAUUAUUGGGCUUAAAGCGUCCGUAGCCGGGUUGGGAAGUCCUCCGGGAAAUCUGGCCGCUUAACGGUCAGAAUGCCGGAGGAUACUCCCAGCCUAGGGAGCGGGAGAGGCCGAGGGUAUUCCCGGAGUAGGGGUGAAAUCCUAUAAUCCCGGGAGGACCACCUGUGGCGAAGGCGCUCGGCUGGAACGCGUCCGACGGUGAGGGACGAAGGCCAGGGGAGCAAACCGGAUUAGAUACCCGGGUAGUCCUGGCUGUAAACGAUGCGGACUUUGUGUCGGACAAGCUAUGAGCUUGUCCGGUGCCGGAGGGAAACCGUUAAGUCCGCCGCCUGGGGAGUACGGCCGCAAGGCUGAAACUUAAAGGAAUUGGCGGG